rnacentral:rRNA from 1 species
GACGAACGCUGGCGGCGUGCCUAACACAUGCAAGUCGAGCGCUGAAGGGUGGUCCUUGUACCAAGUGGAUGAGACGCGAACGGGUUAGUAACGAGUGUGGCCUCUCCCUGGGAGCGGGGGACAACAUUUUGAAACGAAUGCUAAUACCAUAUAAAAACGUUAAACACAAGUCGUAAGGUUGAAAGAUGCAAUUGCAUCACUCAAAGAUGAUCCCGCGUUGUAUUAGCUAGUUGGUGAGGUAAAGGCUCACCAAGGCGAUGAUACAGAGCCGACCUGAGAGGGUGGACGGCCACAUUGGGACUGAGACACGGCCCAAACUCCUACGGGGGGCAGCAGUAGGGAAUCUUCGGCAAUGGGCGGAAGUCUGGCCGCGCAACGCCGCGGGAGUGAAGAAGGUUUUCGGGUCGGAAAACUCUGUUGGUAGGGAAGAACGUGGGUGAGGCUGGAACGCGCAUCAAGUGACGGUAACUACCCAGAAAGCACCGGCUAACUACGUG